rnacentral:lncRNA from 1 species
AGGAAGAGCAGGUUUCUCACGGCAUGUCAGCCCAGGGCUCCCACAUGUGGCCUCCCACCCUCAUCUUCACACAUUCUCACACCUUCCGGAGUACAGAGGCGAGUGGGGUGCAGAUGGUCCUCCCUACAUCGGGUGAGACUGAUAGAGACAGAACGGGGGAGGGUAUGACAGAGAUCCAGCCACAGAGAAGGGCAGAACUAGAAAAGAUGGGACUUGAGAUGAAACAAAGAGAGAGACAGAAACCAAGAGAAAGAAACCGGGAAGACAAGCAAAGAGACAGGUAGAAAUAGACGGAGAAUUCCUUCUGCUUCCUCCUGGCAGAUUGCACUUGGGGGGCAACCUGGCUGUCCCAGGCCACCAGGGAAGCCCACAUGGCCUGUUGGGUUGGCUUUGUCCCGAAUUGCCUGGAAGUUCAUCUUCUGUCUAGCCUUAGAUCUUGUUGCUAAAUAAUUUGGGGGACAAGGACGUGAGAAUCCCCUCAGCCAGGAGUCAGUCUAUAUGCAGUGGCAGGGGUCUAGACAGAGUCCCCAGAGCCAGGGGUGUUGGGAGAAGCCCCGAGAGGCAGCCCCUCUCCACUCUGAACCCGGGACUCAUUAGGCAAGCCAGUUUCAGCCAAGGUCGGGGGCCCUCGUGUGGCACCCCCACAGAAUAGCAGCGGUGAUACUGAACCCUAGAGCCCCUGACUGUGGGCUCCACCCAGGCAAGAGCCAAUGGAACUGGAGGUAGGGGGUGCAUGGGGAGGAGUGGACAUCUUCACUUCCCUAAAGCAGUGUGUAGGUCAACACGCACGCCACUGCAUGAUGUGUUGCUGUUUAGGUCAGAGUAUAUAUGCAUGCCAUUAUGCGCAUGCGUGUGUAUAGUAUGCAUCUAUAGAAUAGACAUUAUCUAUUUCUGUAUAUGUGAAGGGGCCAUUGUGUGUAUAUAUGUGUGUGCUAUUAUGUGUCUAUGAGUCACAUAAUAAAACGUAACAAAAACA